rnacentral:tRNA from 1 species
ACCUAUUUAGUAUAAUAAGUACAAUAAGUUUCCAACUUAAAAGUUCAACAGGACUAGGUA